GAGUUUGAUCGUGGCUCAGGACGAACGCUGGUGGCGUGCCUAAUACAUGCAAGUCGAGCGGAUCUUCAUUAGCUUGCUUUUGAAGAUCAGCGGCGGACGGGUGAGUAACACGUGGGCAACCUGCCUGUAAGACUGGGAUAACUUCGGGAAACCGGGGCUAAUACCGGAUAAUCCUUUUCCUCUCAUGAGGAAAGCUGAAAGACGGUUUCGGCUGUCACUUACAGAUGGGCCCGCGGCGCAUUAGCUAGUUGGUGAGGUAACGGCUCACCAAGGCGACGAUGCGUAGCCGACCUGAGAGGGUGAUCGGCCACACUGGGACUGAGACACGGCCCAGACUCCUACGGGAGGCAGCAGUAGGGAAUCUUCCGCAAUGGACGAAAGUCUGACGGAGCAACGCCGCGUGAGCGAUGAAGGCC
rnacentral:rRNA from 1 species